ACCCUAUUUAAUAAAAUGGUUGAACCAAGUGAAGAAGAGUUAACCACUCUGCUUGGGCUACCUGAACAACAGCCAUACGGUUUGGCGGGAUACUACCAAAUCGUGGCCGCAAAAUCAGUAAUGAUUAGCGAUAAGGAGAAACUCCGAAUGUUAAGGGUAGGCGCUUGGUUAUCCGCUAACAAAAGCACGAUUCCUCACGGCAUCAUAAUAGAAGUCAAGCGUUAAAAGCGUAGACUGAAUCCUAGUUAGGGUUUAGCUGGUGACUGUAUCAAACCUAGGAAAGACCAAUAAGGUGCUAUUGUCGUUGAAACCUAGAAAUAGGCUAUAAGUGAGGUUUGCGGUAAAAGUAGCUUAAAGUGACAACAAGUUCUUGGUAUUAGAACAAAUAGAAAAUAUUUGAUUUAUUAUUGAAGAAUUUGCUGAAUGGUUUGAGUGAAAUUUGAGAGUAGACAAUCUCUCCGUUGGUAGUCGAAAGACAGGGUGAAGAAGUUAAAGGGUCGCUACCUUUGGCUCAGCCUUCAUCUUCAACGUAGCUGAAUAUGUUAGAAGGAUAAUACAAGUACGGCGAAGGUCGCAACGGUUUUAUUAAAUAGG
rnacentral:sRNA from 12 species